rnacentral:rRNA from 1 species
UACGUAGGGUGCUAGCGUUGUUCGGAAUCAUUGGGCGUAAAGCGCGUGUAGGCUGUCAAGUAAGUCUUGUGUGAAAUCCCUGGGCUCAACCGAGGAAGUGCAUGGGAAACUACUUGGCUUGCAGACGGUAGAGGAAGGUGGAAUUCCAAGUGUAGAGGUGAAAUUCGUAGAUAUUUGGAGGAAUACCGGUGGCGAAGGCGGCCUUCUGGACCGAUCUGGACGCUGAGACGCGAAAGCGUGGGGAGCAAACAGG